rnacentral:ncRNA from 1 species
UAUUCUCAGGGCGGGGUGAAAUUCCCCACCGGCGGUAUCCCGGAUUGCACCGGGGAGCCCGCGAGCGCCUCUCCAUGGGGAGAGGGUCAGCAGAUCCGGUGAAAGGCCGGAGCCGACGGUAACAGUCCGGAUGAAAGAGGGUA